ACAGCCAUAGAGGUUGUCGAACAAUGUUUUUCUUGUGUCAUUAUUACAUUAUAAAGCUUAAUAUUAAAACACUUUAAAAUUCAAAACUCUAGCCUACAUUCAAAUUUCAAAGAUCUGUCCACUUUAAAAUUCAAAACUCUAGCCUACAUUCAAAUUUCAAAGAUCUGCCCACAUACAUAAAGGCAAAGGUCUGCCCACAUACAAAAGGGUAAAGAUCUGUCAUUAGCCUUUUUCUUCAAACAAUCUGCCUAUCAUCCAAAAUUCAAACAUCUUGCGAGAUUUAAAAUUCUGACUCGAGAUUCAACAUUCAAAUCAUAUACGUAUAAAUAGUUCUUCUAAUACUGUCUCUCUCUCAAAUCCAAUGCAGACCUCUCUCCCAAAAUCUUCAUGGCUCUCCAAUCCAGACUAUAUAGUCAUUUAAAAUUCAAACUAUUUUGUUCUUCGGUGAUCGGUUGGAUCCAAAUCAAUAAGAAUCAAUUAUAUAAUGAAGUUCCAUCCAAAAAAUCACUCCCAACGCGAAUAUCUCUACCAGGAACGAGCGUCGAAACAGUGUUCGACGACGGCGUAAGGCUCAACUCGAUUCAUCGACGACUGCGUUGUUCUUCAAGGACUCACGUGGAUGAUUCAGGACACGUGUAUGAUCACAAUAUUGAUGUGGGUUUUGAUGUCGACACACGCCACCUUCAUGUUCUUAAAGAUAGUGAGUUGAUUCCUCCAAGAUGGGAUGUUUAUGACAAAGGAAAGAUUUAUGAUAUUAGACACAGGAUUACUGCAGCAACACCCACUGGGAUCUCUCAAACUGGGAUUGGGGAAUAUUACCUCAGACUCCAUGAUAGCAUGAGGAUAUUCAUGAGUAUAUGUACUCGCCUCAGGCGAAUCACCGCAAUGUAUAGCGAGAAUUGUUGUGAGGUUUGAGUUGCAUUGUUUGUGAUUGGAUGUUUUUUGUUUGUAGGGAGGGUUGAUUGGCUUGGCUGCGGCUACUGUUGGAUUGAGUAUAUGUACUCGCCUUAGGCGAAUCACCGCAAGGGGAAAGUGCCGAAUAGAAGAAUAUUGGAAAACGACUCAGAAUGUACAUCUGAUUAUGUCGAUAACCUGCUUCCCGGCUAUCGGUUUUGCCCAACGGACUCAGAACUCAUACUCUACUACUUAAAACCAAAGAUUAAAACCGGAGAACAACCCAAAUGCCGGAUAUAUGAAGUCAAUCUUUGCAACCACAGUCCUAAAGAACUUACAAAUCAAGAUCGACCGUGUGAUGACAAGUGGUAUUUUUUUUACACCAAGAGAGCGAAAAUACCAAAAGGGGAAAGUGCCGAAUAGAAGAACCGGGGACUUUGGGUAUUGGGAAAACGACUCAGAAAUAUACAUCUGUGCAUAUAUGCAAUUCUCAUGCAGAUUAUUAUUAAAAACUUAAAAUCCUCUCCUUCUUUAAUUCAACAUCCUGGUAAUAUAGCUGUUGAUGAUGUGAAUGGCGGAAGGCUAAUAUUUUAUGAUUUUGGAAUGAUGGGGAGGUAAUGAGUGACUAACCGUUUUUAGAAAACGUCACAUGGGAUUUUCUUGACGUACAGACCUUUGAGUUUUUGCAGCAUAAGCUCAAACAUCCGCGAAGGUUUGUUGGAAGUAUUUUACGGAGUUAAAGAGAAAGAUCCAACCGGAGGCAUGACAGCUGUCAGAAGAACUGCACAAUUCUUCCUUAAUAGGGUGGAUUUAUUUUCUAUUUCAGCAGAUCAACCAUUCCAUUUUCCUACCACUUUCACCUUUGUUGUUAGAGCUUUUUCAGUGUUAGAUGGCAUUGGAAAGGGUCUCGACCCCUGUUUUGAUAUCACAGAAAUUGCUAAGUCAUGAGUGUUCAUUUUGCCCUAUUUACUGAUUGAAACCUUAAAAGUAACAAGAUAAUUUGUUUAUUUGCUAAGGUUUUGUGAAGCUGGUAUUGAAGUUGUAUAUUUUUUUGACAUAGCUUUUCUAAUUGUAUAUUUUUUUUGGCAGGCGGUAGCUGCGGUAAGCCUGGUCAACCUGGCAACUAUUUUAUACCUAAUUUCAAUGAGAGGAAGCACCAAAUUUAAUUUACUAAUAAAUUUAUUUGGCAAUUGAAAUAUUGGACCUUUGAUGCUAAAUUUCAUUAUGCUUCAUGUCUUCUUUCAGGGUCCUGCUAUGAUAGCGUAUUCCUUUUGUGAAUUUUUUGGGUUGCAAUUUCUGUUUGGCCUGUUGAAGGUUAAGAAACUCGAUCAAUAGGAGAAAUUGAUUACUGGAAUAGCUUAAACAAAAUGUAAGUAUAUCGUAAUGGUGGUUUCUGAUUACACCUAGAAGAUGUUUUUUCUUGAUUGUGAGGUUGGUCAACUCUACGUUGGCACCAAGAAUCUUAUAACAAGACGAGAAAUGAUGUCAUGUGUACCAAAUGAGUUAAUAACUAUGGUGCAUGAUUCAAGAGGCGGGUCCCAGCAAGAUGCUAUGUUGUUAUGGUUGGAAGAACAUGUUCGCCGCCUUCAAAACGGGAUUAUAAAGUUACGUGAGGAAGGAAAUCUUCGAAGCAUCAGUUUGUUCCCCGAAGAACCUCCGCUGUGUUCUAUGGCUACAAAUGCGGUGUUCAGGUACGUGCGUCUGCUGUAUUUGUACCUGAAUUCAGUGACCUUAUGCAAGAAGCUAAGAAAUAUAUGUUUGCAUACUCGAUCUGUAUGUCGCUUAAACCCGAGGAAUGUUUUGUCCACAGUAUGACCUUUGAAUCGUGCCAGCUGUACUGGAGGCAUUGGAUUAUCAAAUCCAAUGAUAAUGUUGUGGAUGACGUCAAUGGUGAAGUGGUGAUAGGCUAGUUUCCAUUGUUACGUCCAGGGAAGAAAGAGUUCAUUUACAAAAGUUGCACACCUUGUCAUGCUGCACCUGGAUCGAUCGAGUGGUUGUCCCUGGAGCCACAAUAAAAAUAGUCACAUGGGAAAUCGAAGGUAGAAAAAAGACGAGUUCUUCCCGUGUUUUCCAGCUUCAAUCCCGCAAAUGAUCUUAAUAGUUGCUUACCGGAGACGCAAUCCCCGAUAUGCUAGCUGGCCACGAAGAUCCCUGUACCGGUCAUCCCUAUCAAGAUUUGGAAAAAAAUUGAAAUGAAAGAGAGUUCCUAUUGUUGUGAAAUAUUUUUAGGAGUAAAUUACAAGUUUUGUCCUUUAUGUAUGUCCAAAAUUGCAGGCGCUGUCCUUUGUCUUUAAAAUUGAUGAGUUUUGUCCUUAAUGUAUGCAAAUCUUGCACGUUA